rnacentral:lncRNA from 1 species
CCCCAAACUCACAGGGCGCGUGCCCGGGACAUUUAAAGGGACCAGUCCCCGCGCCGGUGCUGCCAGGCAGCCGCCUCCCCGCAGGGGUCGUUGGUGUCGGUGCCAGAGGAGGAAAACGGACAUUCAAAGAGGCGAAGAAACGCGUCCAAGAGGUUUUGACCCUAUUGCUCGGUGCCGUUUCUCCUUUAUCACCAUGGAAAUGUUCACUGAGGUUAUUAGCUGGUUGUGGAAGGCUUUUGAGGAGGUACCUGAUUAAAGGGAAGAAAACUUUUUCACUAAUAACACACUGGCCUCAUCUAACUCCCUGCAUCUUUAAUUAAUGUUUACAAACACUUUAAUCUACCCCACUUACUACUUAAUUAGGCAAGUAUUAUUACCCCCUCUUUCUGAACCAAAUCCAGAAGAGACUUAAGUCCUUAAUCCUCCUUAAAUAAUGCACCUAAGCUUUCUGUCCAUGUUCUUUUUAUUUCCUCUUUUGUACCAUAUUGUUAAACGUUAAUGUAUUUAUCAUUUAUUGGCUUAGUAAAAAAGAUAUUAAAUAGCCACGGGUGGGAGGUAAUAUAGGCAACCUCUAUCUUUCAUAAAUUCAGAUUUUAAACAGACAUUAUGAUAAGUG